rnacentral:rRNA from 1 species
CGUAGGUGAACCUGCGGAGGGAUCAUUACCGAGUUUACAACUCCCAAACCCAAUGUGAACGUUACCAAACUGUUGCCUCGGCGGGAUCUCUGCCCCGGGUGCGUCGCAGCCCCGGACCAAGGCGCCCGCCGGAGGACCAACCAAAACUCUUAUUGUAUACCCCCUCGCGGGUUUUUUUAUAAUCUGAGCCUUCUCGGCGCCUCUCGUAGGCGUUUCGAAAAUGAAUCAAAACUUUCAACAACGGAUCGCUUGGUUCUGGCAUCGAUGAAGAACGCAGCGAAAUGCGAUAAGUAAUGUGAAUUGCAGAAUUCAGUGAAUCAUCGAAUCUUUGAACGCACAUUGCGCCCGCCAGUAUUCUGGCGGGCAUGCCUGUCCGAGCGUCAUUUCAACCCUCGAACCCCUCCGGGGGGUCGGCGUUGGGGAUCGGCCCUCCCUUAGCGGGGUGGCCGUCUCCGAAAUACAGUGGCGGUCUCGCCGCAGCCUCUCCUGCGCAGUAGUUUGCACACUCGCAUCGGGAGCGCGGCGCGUCCACAGCCGUUAAACACCCAACUUCUGAAAUGUUGACCUCGGAUCAGGUAGGAAUACCCGCUGAACUUAAGCAUAUCAAUAAGCGGAGGA